AAAACUCUGAGGGCUUCCGCCAAUCAGAGAUAAAGUGUGCUAGCGACCUUCGCCAGCCCCCCAACUUUUGUUUCUUCUGUGUCCUCCAGGUGCCAGCACCCCAGAUCCCAACUUUCUUUACAUUCAAACAGGCCAAGCAAGGGCUUCUUAAGGACCCGAUGAAACUUCCGUGGAACCACAAUAUACCGUGGUUGUUUGCACCUCAGAGUUUCUCAUCUCGGAAUCCAGCGCCCACAUUAAUUCAGGGCAGCAAAGAAGCUAGAGACGUGGGAGGCUGUGCGGCGCUGCGCAAGUAAGUUUUAGAGAGCAGAAACGGUAGGGUCACAGUCCUUUGUUUUGACCUGGAGGAGGAGGAGGAGACCUUUCAGACCGGCCUAGGGGCUCAGCAUUGGAAAGCCACCCAGUUUCCCAGACUACCAGGGAUUUUAAAUGAGUGGGUCUUGUUUUGAAUAGAUAUUACAGGAGAGUGGUCCGUGUGGCUCCCUGGAAGUACAGAGAAACUACCUCCAUGACAUUAUGAUCUUUUGAGAGUAAUUUGUUUAAAUGUCAGGAGGCAGAGGUUGCAGUGAGCCGAGAUCGUGCCAUUGCACUCCAGCCUGGGUGACAGAGCUAGACUCCGUCUCAGAAAAAAAAAAAAAAAAGUGUCAUAAAUACAGAUAAUUAUACCAUUUAAAUAUUUUCAUACUUUGCAAGUAUAUAAUUUUAUGCUUUGUAUAGUAGGAACAGACAAAGUAUAGGACUACACUUUGUAAUUACGCGAAAGUAUCUUCCCUUCUUGUGAAUAGGAAGUCUGUGUGCUGAGUAUACACAUUAAAGUUUUAAACCCUAUUUAUAUUUUGUUUUUAGGUCAUGUUUAGAUAGAGGCAGAAAAGUGCUGUUUCCUAGCUGAUACUUGUUUUGUGUGUGUGGCACUGCUCUUGAACUGUUUGACUCCUCCCCCUCUUUGAUAAGUUGACUCCUGGGCUCUGAGAAUUUGGCCACAGGAAAUGUAUUUUAGUUUGCUUCCCUGGUUAGUUUGUUGUUCAUUGCUUGACGACUCAUCAUAGAAUUUUAGAGCUUGAAAGCUCCUUAGACAAUAUUUGGUCCAAGGCUAUCCUUUCACAGUGAGGACACGGGGACCCAGAUGAGUGGCAGUGGCCAGGCUGGGGUGGGAACCAAAACUCUCUAGGAUCUGGCUUGUCUUUUCCUGAACUGUGGCGCUUAGGGAACAGAUGCGUCUGGUUGAUUCUCAACAUUAUGGCAGCACAAUGAAAAGGAAAAAAAAAAAAAAAAGGAGGGAUUCUCUAAAAUAUUCCUAUCUUUCCUAGGUAAAUUUACCCUGAAAUGAAAACAACUGUGGAACAUUUUCUUUUUUUUUCUUUUCUUUUCUUUUUUUUGAGACGAAGUCUCGCUCUGUCGCCCAGACUGGAGUGCAGUGGCGCGAUCUCGGCUCACUGCAAGCUCCGCCUCCCGGGUUCACGCCAUUCUCCUGCCUCAGCCUCCCAAGUAGCUGGGACUACAGGCGCCUGCCACCACGCCCGGCUAAUUUUUUGUAUUUUUAGUAGAGACGAGGUUUCACCGUGUUAGCCAGGAUAGUUUCGAUCUCCUACCUUGUGAUCCGCCCUCCUCGGCCUCCCAAAGUGCUGGGAUUACAGGCAUGAGCCACCGCGCCCGGCGGAACAUUUUCUUAUAUGUAUAUUCCAGAUAGAGCAUAUUCUGAAAAUGUGAAAUCUUACGCUAAAAUCAGUAGCAACUGGUUGAUAGAGACGUGAUAUGAAUUUCAAAUAAUGUAAGUUUCAGAAUCCGUGAAUUACAAUUUUAAUUAUGUGAAGAUAAAUAAGUUGUACAAAGUCAAUUUCCAUAAGUUGGUUAAUUUCAUAAAAAGUUAAAUUUGAUAAAUAUGGUACGUUCCAUAAGAGGUUAAAUUUCCAUAAAACUAGAGGGCUUAGGUGGCAGUCAUAUGGGAAAACGGGCACACACUGAAGUCUUCACUUUCAUAUAUAAAAAGAGUUGGUUUUGGCCGGGCGUGGUGGCUCACAUCUGUAAUCCCCGCACUUUGGGAGGCUGAGGCGGGCAGAUCACCUGAGGUCAGGAGUUCAAGACCAGCCUGGUCAACAUGGGGAAACCCUGUCUCUAUUAAAAAUACAAAAAUAAGCUGGGCGUGGUGACACGUGCCUGUAAUCCCAGCUACUUGGGAGGCUGAGGCAGGAGAAUUGCUCCAACCUGGGAAGCGGAGGUUGCAGUGAGCCAAGAUCACGCCACUGCCCUCCAUCCUGGGCCACAGAGCAAGACUCCGUCUCAAACAAACAAACAAACAAAAAAAGAGUUGGUUUUGUUUCAUUGGCUAUCCUGGCAAUCCCAACAUUAAUCUGAAGUCUGCCAUGUUCAUGCCCCUUAAGAUGAAAAUCUUUUAGAACCAUAAAAAUGGAAGGAAUGAAUGUUUGUUGAGCUACCAGCAAAUACUAGACAUGCUAGGGGCUUCAUACUCAUGCCCUGUUCCGUGGUAUUCUCAUUUGAGAGGUCAUGGCAGUUACCCUAGGUCACUAAAUGAGUUUGGUUUGGAAACCCAGGAUACAGAACCACACGUGGCUCGAGUACUGAGGGGCUGGCAUCAUUCUUCAUUGACAAGAGCAGGAUCUAAAGGGAUCCUGCCUUGCAGGUGGGCUUCUGAAAUUAAAUAACCUGUAUAGUUGUGUAAAAUGUCAGAAACUUGGAUGAACGCCUUUGGAUCUCAGACCACACCGUAAUAUUGUAGGUUUUUAAAACAAUAUUUCUGCGGUUGAUUUGUUUUUUGGUUAUAUACACUCCUGCUUUAAAAAAUAACUACAAUCAUGCAUCACUUAACGAUGGGGAUGCUUCUAAGAAAUGUGUCAUUAGGUUAUUUCAUCAUUGUACAAAUAUUGUAGAGUGUACUUACACAAACCUAGAUGGUAUGGUCUACUACAUACCUAGGCUGUAUGGUAGAGCCAAUUUCUCCUAGGCUACAAACAGGUACAGCAUGUUACUAUACUGAAUACUGUAGGUGACUGUAACUGGUAAGUAUUCAUGUAUCUAAACAUCAUCUAAACAUAGAAAAGUUACAGCAAAAAUAUGGUAUUAAAACCUUAUGGGACCACUGUCCUGUAUGUGGUCUGUUGAAUAAAACAUUGCUUUGUGGUACAUGACUGUAAAUAAAAUAAAUAAUAAUAAUGAAAUGCCAGGGGGCAGGGGUAGGGGACGAUGAGAAUUCUGGUUAUUUUAAGUCUUGUGUUCAGAGUAUGACUGAAGAUGCCUUUACCUGAAAGCCACAGAGGUCUGAGCCUCAAGGGACUGAAUGAUACCCAAAUCUUCCUCAAGAAUUACCUUUUUUUUUUUUUUUUUUUUGAGAUGGAGUCUUACUCUGUCCCUCAGGCUGGAGUGCAGUGGCACGAUCUCAUGAGCCACCACGCCCAGCUUGCGUUACUUUUAAAAGACGCUGAUAAAUUAGCGGGGCGUGGUGGCACGUGACUGUAGUCCCAGCUACUCGGGAGGCCGAGACAGGAGAAUCGCUUGAACCCGGGAGGCAGAGGUUGGAGUGAGCAGAGAUCGCGCCAUUGCACUCCAGCGAGAUUCUGUGUCAAAAAAAAAAAAGAAAAAAGAAAAAAAAGAAAAAGAAAGAUGCUGACAUGCAUUCUACAUACUGUCAGGUAGUCAGUAUGUCUCUAGAGUUGAAUUUAAUAAUAUGGGAGAAAUGGGAAACAAUACUCCACAAGUUCAUGCUGUCUUGGCUAAAUGCUUCCACCGGUGCUACUGAAUGCUGCCUCCUCUCUAUUCACCCUCCUCACUAUUCGCUUCUCUUUUUCUUUUUUUGAGGGGGGGACAGGGUCUCGCUCUGUCACCCAGGCUGGAGUGCUGUGGUGCGAUCUCGGCUCACUGCAACCUCCGCCUCCCAGGUUCAAGCCAUUCUCCGACCUCAGCUUCCCGAGUAGCUGGGACUACAGGCACACACCACCAUGCCUGGCUGAUUUUUUGUAUUUUUAGUAGAGACGGGGUUUCACCAUGUUGACCAGGCUGGUCUCAGACUCCCGACCUCAGGUGAUCCGCCCGCCUCAGCCUCUCAAAGUGCUGGGAUUACAAGCUGAGCCACCACGCCCGGACUUCACUUCUUAAAUCUAGGUCUUAUUUUGUAAUUUUACUUCAAAGAUUUGUACGUAAGGAAUUUUUUUCUCUUUGGUUUUGUCCCACAAUAAUACAUGAACAUGUGAUUAUAUUUUUAAAAAAUUUAAGUAAAAAACAUAUAUAUAUGUUUAUUUUAAAAGUUCUCCUUUACCUUCCUACCCCAAUCCUCCUAUGCUCAUAGAUAACUGCUGCUAAUGAUCUGUGUUUAGAUAAAAACAGAUUUUGGGGCCGGGCAUGGUGGCUCAUUCCUGUAAUCCCAGCACUUUGGGAGGCCGAGGCGGGCGGAUCACUUGAGGUCGGGAAUUUGAGACCAGCCUGACCAACAUGGCGAAACCCCGUCUCUAUUAAACAUACAAAAGUUAUCCAGGUGUGGUGGUGGGUGCCUGUAAUCCCAACUACUCGGGAGGCCGAGGCAGGAGAAUCUAUUGAACCUGGGAGGCAGAGGUUGCAAUGAGCCAAGAUCGCCCCAGUGCACUACAGCCUGGGUGGCAGAGCAAGACUCUAUCUCAAAAAAAAAAAAA
rnacentral:lncRNA from 1 species